rnacentral:lncRNA from 1 species
AUUCAAGGAUUGCACGUUCUGUUCUAGAUUAAGCAGGUCUAAUUUAGGGAAUUGUCAAUAGGCUAACAAAAAAAGACAAUUAGGGAUUCAUUGUAAUUCUCACAUUUAUUUGGAAGAUACUUAUUUCGGAUGAGUCAUACCAAUAGGAUGAACCAAAUGAGUUCUGCAUCAUGAACUUUGUACUGCGCACAUUACUUAGACGGGUUCUAGAAGGGCAUAUAGGAAGGGAUGGAGAAAUCCGGAAUGAAGAAAUCAAAUAUGAAAGAAAAGACAAAGAAAUGAUAGAAUAUCGAAUUCUAUUUCUUUGGAUCUGAGCUGAAUCUUGUCUAUUUCAACCCCCCUGGAUUCGACUUUUGAGCCUUUCAACAAUUAACCAAUUUUACCUUUCGAAUAUGUAUUACGUAUUCAAAUUCGAUGGAUAGAAGAAACCUUAGAAAAUUUAGAAAAAAGCACAUGUGAUAGUUUAUAUAAUUUAAAAGACUCACUACGAGAAGAACAACACAAGAUAAUAAAUAACAUUGAAAAUCUAGAAUUAGAUAUACAUUACAGUACAGUUAGGAUAAAUUAUUAUACAGAAAUUUGUAACUCUGCAAUUACUACAGGAUAAAAUAAUAAACCAAAUAAAUUAAUGAAUAUAUCUUACGAAAAAAGUAAAUCAUUGAAAGAUAUUGAAACAAAAUUUAAGAAAUAUCCACGCACAAAGAAAAAUAGAUUCACUAGAUACCUAAUAAAUCUAUUUCAUACGUCAGGUAUCCGCACCCCUCUCCAAUUCUCAAAAUGAAAUAAAAAAAUGGAAUCUAAUUUUGUUACUGUUGAAUACUCCCUCAAUUCUAUUUUAAUUGUGUCCUAUUUUAAUUGUUCAUCUUAUUAGCGGUCAAACCUUUUAGACGAUUGCAGAAAGGCUCACGUGAUCAUUAAGGUCAACCUAGGCUUCAUUCUAUCGAUCACAAACCACUGCACGCAUUCGUGAUGGUCAAAAUUUUUUCUCUCUUCAUCCUUGUCAAGUCUCAUGCGGUUGGAAACGUUUAUCGAAAGUAUUCUUUUACUAAUUUAUCCUUAACAUUUUCAAUAUAAUUGAUAUUGUUUAGUUUAAAAAAUAAUUAAUUUUAAGGGAAAAAUGUAGAGAAGUUAAUUAAUUCUUUCAUGAUUUUAUAUAUUGACAAAUAUUUUUAACAAAUACUUUUAGUAAUGUUGACAACUUAUAUGAGACGGGGGAGUAUUAAUGAGAGUCCUUGAAGUCUAUGGAAACUACUCCCUCCGUUUCAUAUUAGUUGGCACAUAUGAAUUUGACACAUCUAUUAAGAAAAAAUUACUAGGGGUUUAUUUUACUAAAUUAACUUUAUUAAUUAUGUUUUGAAAAUAUAAAUUUAAGUUUAUACAUUUUAUUUAGUCAUUAAUGAUAGGGGUAGUAUCGGAAGAACAUAAUAACAUUCUGUGGAUUUUAUAAAAGCGACAACUAAAUUAAAACAUAUAUUUUUAAAAAGAAGACCAACUAAUAUGAAACGGGGAAAGUAAUUCCAUUGGCUCCAAAUAAAGGAAAAAGAAUUAAAAAUAUCCCUGUACUUUCAUAAAUUGGUUAAGUUUGCCUCUGAUUAAAUUAUAGGGUUAAAUAUACCCCUACUUUUAUCAAAGUGUAUAAAUAUACCCCUUUUUAAAAUGGUUUUCCACAUAGACUAACAAUUGGGUGAAGUGGGUGCCAUGUGGCAUGCCAUUUCAGCGCUAAAUAUAUAUUUUUUAUUUAAUUUUUCUUUUCUUAUUUACUGUUCACAUUUAUGCCUUCCAUAGCCAUCCUUUUUUUUCAGACUAAAAUUGUCUUUAGGUCGACAUAACAAUUCACGUUCAGAAGCUAACAUAAAUCAAAAUUAUCCCUAUUGUUAUUUAUGAUCCAUGUUGAAAUCAAUGGGCUCGGUUAUGACAAAAAGCAUCUGCCUCUUUUUUUAUCAAGAUUUUCAGAUGCGCAAACGAGAGAUUCCAGCGGAACAGGAAUAGAACCUCACUAGACACUAGCAGUAGUUCUGCACCAAUUUAAGAUGCCAUAAGCACAAACCAACAAAAUCUGCUAAGUUGCCUACUGAAAAAUAAAUAAAACCUUUCAUGGAAAAUCAAAGAGAAAAGAAUGUUCUUGUCUCAAGAACAAUAGAGAAUUUCAACAAGGAUUAAAUUGUGUUACUCCGUCUGUUGCUGAAUAUUGGUUACCUUUUUCGUACUUGUCUUUACUAAUAUAAACAACUAUUAUGUCUUUUUUAAAAAUGACAAGUAUUAUAAAAUAUUUUUUUUAAUAAGGAUAACAAGUAUUUAAAAUGACAAGGUUUUAUAAUUAAAAGACUCUAAAUGUGAAGAAGAAAAAAAAUAUAUUUGGCGCUUAGGUGGCAUGCCACAUGACACCCACCUUAUUCAAUUAUUAAUCUAUGUGGAAAAUCAUUUAAAAAGAAGGAUAUAUUUAUGCACUUUAAUAACAGCAGAGAUAUAUUUAACCUUAUAGUUUAAUCAUGAACAAAUUUAAUCAAUUUAUAAAAGUAUAGAGAUAUUUUUUACCCUUUUCCCUCAAAUAAAAGGCUGAAUUAGCAUCACAUGACCCAUUAAAAAUGACUCACGAGCUUCCCACGAAAACCAAACUACAGCACUUAUCUGGAAAAAAUAUUUUUUUUUUAGUGAUGUUGGUUUCUAAUUAGUGGGAUUUUUUCACUGCCAGCUACCAAGAAAGGGUAAUGUAAUUUUCUAUUGUUCUCAGAUAAGUUGUUCAACCUUUGGAAAGGGUUCUAGUUAGGUGAAAAUAAUAGUAAUAUCUCCGUUUAAAAAAGAAUGAUCUACUUUACUUUUUAGUUCAUUUUUAAAAGAAUGAUUUUUUUUCUUUUUUGGCAAUACUUUAAUUUCAACUUUCCAUGUGGCAUGUUUAGGGUCACAAGAUUAAAGGACAUUUUGGUACAUUAGACACAACUUUAAUUUAAGGCCACAAGAUUCAAAAAUCUUCUUUAUUUUCUUAAUUUUUGUGUCAAGUCAAAGUAGAUCAUUCUUUUUUAAACGGAGAGAGUAAUAAAUUAUCUGAGAUAAUGCUACAAGGGACAUUGUUAAACCAUAGUUAAAAUUGGUAACAUAACUAAUUAAUAAUAGUAUCCAUAAUCUCUCUUUCUCUAUAUAUAUAAACGAUGCGUAUCUGUAUGCCUAUGUGCACCUUUCAUUAGGUAAAAUUCUUAUUUAUCUUUUUUUUCUUAAAUUUUUGGGCUUUUUCUUAUUUUCUUAUAUUAUGUAAUAUGUUAAGAAAAUUCAAAAAUUAUCUCAUUUAUUAGACAUGAAACUGUCAAAUGCAUUUGUGUGAAUUAAACAUGCAACCUAUCAUGUACGAUUCUUUAUUAUUGACAUCCAUCCCUCUUCCUGAUGUUACUUUCUUUUUAAAUGCCUUUUAUAUUUAAGAGAGUAUUUUUUAUAUAUAUAUAAAUUUGAUCAUAAUUGAACAACUAAUUUUUGAAUUAAGAUUAUAAUUUUCUUCUAAUAUUAUUUCUUAGUUGCAGAUUUAUGCACCAAAAUUUUAUGAUUCUCACAAGUAAUUCUCAAGGUAAGCAGAUGUAUUCUUUUCUCACAUUUUUUGUUUAUAUUUUAUAGGAAAAACUUAUUACACUCAUAAAAUCUUAAUAAAAAUUUCUUUCUAUAUUUCUUAGUUGCGAAUUUAUGGUCCGAAAUUUUGUGAUUUUUACAAGCAAUUCUCAAGGUAAGCAAAAAUAUUCUUUUUCAUGUUUUUUAUUUAUAUUUUAUAUGAAAAAACUUAUUACACUCAUAAAAUCUUAAUAAAAAUAUUUUUUUAUAUUGUGAUUGAAUAAUUUAAUAUAUUUUUUAUUUAUAUUUUGUAAAAAAAAUUAUUACACUCAUAAAAUCUUAAUAAAAAAAUCUUUCUAUAGGGUUACUUUUCAACAUAUAAAUCUUUCGUGAAGAAUUGAGAUUAUAAUUUUCUUCUAAUAUUAUUUUUUGUCACAGAUUUAUGCUCAACACUUGUCACGACUCAAAAAUGAGGGUCAUGAUGACACUUGUCGCGGCAUACCUUGACAAGUAAGCCUAUCACCCAAACUGAUACGAAUAGAGAAAAAAAACAGAAAUACCCAAGGUAAGGCUUCUAGAAUGAAGCCGAAACUAUAUAAAUAAUCAUAACAAUGCGGAAAAAACUUAUCCAAAACACCAAUCAUGUCUAAAACUAGGUGUCAAUAGUGUAAGAACUACUAAUACAAUCCAAGAGUCAAAUACAUUGAAAAAAUAACCACAAAGGAAUAAUAACUGUCUUCGAACACUAAUAAAGACAUAACUAGUAUAGAAAGAUAGAGGUGAACUUCGGACGCAUGAAUGUCCAAUCGCUACCUUGGAAGCUCCAACAACCGCCCGAAUCAAGUAAGCUGAGGCGCACUCGAGCUAGGACCUGCACCGAAAGGGCGCAGUAGGCAUGAGUACGAUCCACUUGUAUUCAGUAGGUAUCAUAGGCCGACUAAGAAAAUUAGUAAAUAAGGCAUACAAAAUAUACAUUAAGGGCACGUCACCUGCAAUCAGAAAAUGUCCCAGAAUGGUAGCCUACACUGCUUGCACUAACAGUUCUAAUAUAUCUCACAUAUAUUGCAAAAACACCUCAAGAUAUAGAACAUAAGUAUAUAUUAUGUCACAUAUAAAAUAGAGCAAGAGAGAACAUGUAGAUACAAGAUCAUCAAAUACAAGUAAAGAAAGGUAAGACAAAUACAUAGAUGACAAGUAAAUAAGGCAAUACAAUAUAACAUAAACACAAUAAAGUAAGUACAAUGUAUAUGAUAAUGAUGAUGAUGAUGAUGAUGAUGACGAUGAUGACGAUGAUGGACAAGGUUGUUGCACAACCUCCGGGAUCAUCGCACAAUCCCUGUAUACACCUACGGAGCCAAAGCUUCCCGACGUAGGACCCAUGGGGGGUUCGUCGAACCAUAUACAAUCCACAUAUCUCAUAUCUCCUUUCCAGCACAUUCCUCCAAAAGGGUUUUAUAAGGUGUUACAAUAUUUUUAAAAAGGUGUUGUCAGUGUUUCUCAGAUAUUGCCAUGGUGGUUCCAAUGUUUCAUGAAUGAGUAUGAUAUGAAGAUGUAAUGCUCACACCCAAUCACAAUAAAUAUUUCCACAACCAACCACAUGAUAUAUUUCCACAACCAACCACAAUGAAACAUUUCCACAACCACAUGAGCCAAUAUUCACUCGUUAUUUUUAUUUCAUCCAUGAGUUUUCACAUGUCUCAUAUGCAAGUAAAGUAUGAAUAUAAUCACAAUACACCCAUGGUAUCAUAUUAAACAAUACAAUACAAUUACUCACAUGUAUUCAAGGCUAGCAACGUCACACAGGACCCCACACGGUUAAACAUAUCACAUAAUAUUUAAUUUUUAAUAAUUACAUCACAUAUAGUCCUUCCAACCCUUAACAUACAUUUAUUACCAUCAUUUACUAUCCAACCCAGUCUGAAGAGUUAAGCCAUAACCUACCUCGAAAGUCGAAACCGGUCCGCUACACUUGAACCCGCGACCUUACUUUCCACGAAAAAUUCCUAACUCUAGUAAAAAUAUCAAAUAUGAAAUCUACGCGUAAAAACAAAACCAACGACACUCAUAUUGACUAUUUUUGGUUUGGGGUCAAAACGGACCCCCAAAAUAGGUUUUCAAAAAAGAAGGGCAAAAUUGGAAAUUUACUUCAAAAAUAAGUUCUGCAUAUUUUUAGAAACCUACAGAUGAAAACUCAAGUUAAAUUGAGUGAAAAACAGGGUUCAAAUCGAAGAAAAACUAUUUUUGAACUUUACCGGGUAAAAUCCUUGAAAUCCGUGUUAAAAUCAAGAAUCGGAGUUGUUUUGAAGGUUAAAUUGAUGAAAAACCAGUAAUUAUAAUAUAAAAAUAUUAUUCAAGUGAAAGGGGAUGAAAUUUGGGUUUAAAAUCAUGCCCUAAGAUUUUUGAGGUUUUGAGAAAUUUAUCAAGAAAUUUCUAAGAAAAAGGUGAAUUCUUACCUUAAAUCCGUAAUUAAAAUCAAGAAAUAGGUGUUAAUCUAGCUUCCCAAGUUCUCAUAAACUUCACUUUUAAGCUCCCAAAAUAUUUAGGUUUAACUCUCAAGAGACAAGAUGAAAAAUGAGCAAAAUGGGUCAAAAAUGUGAAAAAGCUGCUAUAUAUAUUGCAGAUUUUUCUACGUAACUAUGCAGUUUUUUUAUUCCAACUCUGAAAUGGACUUCGACGGGUAGGGGUGGACAUAUUUUGGUUUAAACCAAAAAAACCAAAAAAACAAACCGAAAUUUAUUUUUGGUUUCAAUUUUUUGGUUUUUUGGAUCGGAUUUGAUUUGUAAUUUUAGAAUUUCGGUUUUCGGUUUUAGAAAAAAAAUUGGUUUAAACCGAAAAACUAAAAUUUUAUAAAUAAAUAAAUAAAUAAUAUAUUUUAUUAUAUAUAUGAUAUAUAUAUAUAUAAUAUAUAUAUAUAUAUAUACAUAAUAUAUAUACAAUAUAAUAUAUAUAUAUAUAUAAUAUUUAGUAAUUCACAUUCACAAUUAACAUUUAAUAGCGAAUUCACAUACGCCGCAGGCUGUUUAUGGAUUGUUUUAGUGACUCAAAUAUUUUAUGAACUAUUUUGGUGACUUUGGACUGUUUUUUGGACUAUUUAUGCAGAAAGUAUGUUGUUUCAUGGACUAUUUUUACGAGUUUUGUGUUGUUUUGUAGACUAUUUAUGCAAGGUUAUAUUAUAUGUAAUGAUUAAUGACGUUAUGUAUUAUGUUAAGCUUAUGAUUACUUCAUUUCGUUUCAUCCUUGUUGAGUUAUUUAUAAUUAUUUAUAUUUAGGAAUGAAAAACAGGUUUGAAAAAAAAAAUAAUUUUUCUAAAAAAAUCCAUCAAUUUUAAAUGCUUAGUUAUGAAAAAGAGAGGCUAACUACUUUAAUAUUUCUAACUGAAAUAAAAAUUCGAAAUAAUCGAACCAAAUUUGUUAAAACCGAACCAAACCGAAUUUAAUUCGGUUUGGUUAUGGAUGUCAUAUUUGUCAAUCCGAAAACUGAUAAACCGAACUGAUAUCAAACAAUCAGACAGAACCGACUGAACGCCCACCCCAAUCGACGGGGUUCUCAGGAUUCGUUCGAAGUCCGAUUUAUGCAAACAAACUAUGCAACCACACUAAAUUCGACAUUACGGACGCAAUGGCGAUAUCAAAUUUUCCAGAAAAAUUCAUCUUCAAAAAAUUGACCCCCGAGACCUAAAAUCACAAUUUUCCAAAUUGAGGGUCGAAAUGAGAUUUAAAAGCCAUAAAAUCAUACCAAAGAUGCUAACACACUAAAAUCAAAAUUACGGAUCUGUUGGCGAAGUCGUAUUUUCCAUACGAAGUCGUUUCAACCAAAAGUGGAUCCCACACCCAACUUUUAAAUUUUUCAACUUUCCGACCGACUACCUAGUCUAAGAUCGAUAUUUCAGAGCUCCUCGCGCAGUCCGUUCGGUCAUCCGUCGCACGGAACAAAAUAUAACUACAUAAGUCCAAAAUAAGGCUCUUGAAGCCAUAAAAAACCACAAUAUUGCAUAAAUGAUGCAAAAAUGCAUCAAAAAUCAUGUCAACCACUUCCACACCCCAGAAAUACCAUAAUGCAACUACGGGGAGGGGUAAAACAGUUAAAUCACACAAAAUCACAAAUUUAACAUAUUUAAUCAAACUUUUAGGUCAUUAUAUCAUCCACCACUAAAUCUAGUUCGUCCUCGAACUAAGGCAAGGAAAUACCUGAAUCAAUGAAAAGCUGGGGAUGGGAACUACGCAUACCAGACUCAAUCUCCUAAGUAGUCACAUCUACAAGUCAAAGUUACCACUGGACCUGAACCAUAAGGAUCACUUUAGAGCGCAACUGCCUAACAUCCCUAGACAAAAUGGAAAUUGGCUCCUCAACAAAGAACAAACGUUCAUCUAACUGAACUGAAUCCCAACGAAUGACAUGAGACUUGUCAAGAAUAUAGCAACGAAGCAUAAAAACAUGAAAACUGGAUGAACAACAGAUAGAUCAAAGGGCAAAGCCAACUCAUAAGUCACAUCACCAAUAGUCCGAAGAAUCUCAAACGGAUCAAUAUACCUAGGGCUAAGCUUGCCCCUCUUUCCAAACCUCAUCACACCCUUCAUGGGUGAAACUCGAAGAAAAACACGAUCACCAACACCAAAACUCAAGACACGAAGUCUACGAUCAGCAUAACACUUCUGCCUACUUUGGGCCACUCUAAGUCUAUCCUGAAUGACCCGGACCCUAUCUAAAGACUCACGAAGCAAGUCUGUAUCUCGAGGUCUCGCCUCUAAAACAUCGAACCAACCUACUGGAGAGCGACAAUUCCUUCCAUAACUCCUCAAAAGGAGCCAUAUCAAUACUGGAAUGGUAGCUAUUACUAUGUGUAAACUAUGCUAAAGCCAAAUAUUGCUCCUACUAGCCACCAAAAUCCAUCACGCACGCGCGGAGCAUACUCCAAAACCUGGAUAGUCCAUUCUGACUGGCCAUCAGUCUGGGGUGAAAUGCUGAAUUAAGAUCCACUCGAGUACCUAACUCAUCCUGAAAAGUCUUCCAAAAGUGAGAUAUAAAACCUCGAUCUGAAAUAAUGGACAUGGACACAUAAUGCAGAUGCACAAUCUUACGAACGUAGAUACGGGCCAACCUCUCAGCACUAAAUGAGACCUGAACCGGAAUAAAAUGAGCUGACUUAGUCGAUCAAUCCACGAUGACCCAAACACUGUCAGAACCAUAAGAUGUACGUGGCAAACUAGUCGCAAAGUCCAUAGUGAUGCAUUCCCACUUCUACUCAGGAAUGGGUAAUCUCUGAAGUAAACUACCAAAUCUCAUAUGCUCGGCCUUCACUUGCUAACAACAUAGGUAACGAGAUACAAAAUCUACUAUAUCUAGCCUCAUACCACCGCACCAGUAGUGCUGUCUAAAAUUACGAUACAUCUUAGUCACACCUGGAUGGAUGGAAUAUCUGGAACAAUGGGCCUCCUCCAAGAUCAACCUAAUUCGAUCACCACUCUCGGCAUACAAACUCAGCCCUCAAUCCUCAAAAUUUCAUCUGAAUUAGGUGAGGCUUCCUUAGACUCUUCACUCAACAUCUUAUCUCGAAUCAACCUUAACCCAAUAUCGUCAAACUAAUGAGCUCGAAUCUGCUCCAUCAAAUAGGGUCUAGCAUCCACAAGUGCCAAAACAUGCCCUGGUGUUGAAAUAUCAAGUCUGACCAUCAGAUUAGCUAAACACUGAACCUCCAAGGCCAACGACCUUUCCUGGGUCAAAAGAUGCACCGAGCUACCCAUUCUAGCCGACUUCUAGCUCAAGGUAUCCACAACCACAUUAGCCUUUCCCUAAUGGUAGAGAAUAGUCAAGUCAUAAUCCUUAAGCAACUCAAGCCAAUAACGCUGCUUCCUAAGAAGAUCUCGCUGAUAAAAAAGUACAAAAAGGCUACGAUGAUUUGAGAAGAUCUCACAAUGGAAUCCAUACAAGUAGUGCCUCCAAAACUUUAAGGCAAACACAACUGCGCACAACUCCGAAUCAUAGGUAGGAUAAUUCCUCUCAUGAGGAUUCAAUUGACGAGAUGCAUAAGAAAUUACCUUGCCCUCCUGCAUCAACACAAUACCUAAACCAACACCUGAAGCAUUACAAAAGACAGUAAAGCCCACGCCCUCCUUAGGCAAAGCUAAUAUAGGAGCUAAAGUCAACAAAUCCUUGAGCUUUAGGAAGCUUGCCUCACAAGCUUCGAAACACUAAAAAGAAAUCUUUUUCUGGGUCAACUUGGUCAAUGGAGCUGCAAUGGAUGAAAAACCCUCAAUAAAACGUGGAUAAUACUCAGCUAAGCCAAUAAAACUCUGAAUCUCGAUGGGCGAAGUAGGUUUAGCCCAAAUCACGAACCGCUGCAUCCUUAGCUGGAUCAACCAUAAUACCUUUCUUAGUCACCACAUGACCUAAGAAAGAAAAUAUACAAUAACCAAAACUCAUACUUAGAGAACUUAGCAUACACCUUCUCAUCCCUCAAUCUCUAAAGCACAAUCCACAAAUGCUCCUCUUGCUCAACCUCACUCUUGGAAUAAACCAAGAUAUCAUCUAUAAAUAACAUAAUAAAGGAGUCAAUAUAUAGUCGAAAAACUUAUUCAUCAACUCCAUGAAUGAGGCAGGGGAAUCGGUCAACCCAAAAGACAUGACCAAGAACUUAUAAUGACCAUAUCGAGUCCGAAAAACUAUUUUCAAAAUAUCCAAAGAUCUAAUCCUCAAAUGGUGAUAACCGAAGCACAACUCAAUCUUCAAAAACACCACAAUGCCCUGAAGCUGAUCAAAUAAAUCAUCAAUGCUAGGAAUGGGAUACUUAUUAUUAACCAUCACCUUGUUUAACUAUCGACAAUCAAUACAUAUCUGUAUAGAUCCAUCCUUUCUCUUUACAUACAAAAUAGAUGCACCCCAAGGUGAAACAUUAGGUCGAAUAAAUCCCUUAUCCAACAACUCCUAUAAUUGAUCCUUCAGUUUCUUUUAACUCUGUUGGGGCCAUCUUAUAAGGAGGAAUAGAAAUAGGCUCGAUGCCCGAAUCAACAUCAAUAAUAAAAUCAAUAUCUCAAUUCGAAGGCAUACUAGGAAAGUUCGUAGGGAACACCUCCAUAAACUCACAGGCACCACGGACAAAAUCCAAAAAAAGAGGCGAAACAACACUUGUGUCACGAAUAUGGGACAAGUAAGAUAAACAUCCCUUCUCAACCAAUUUAUGAGCCUGAACAUAAGAUAUAACCCUCUUAGGACCUGAAUUAAGUGUACCCUUUCCAAGCUAUACUUGUCACACCAACUAAAGCUAAAGUCACAAUCCUAGCAAAACAAUCUAAGACAACAUGAUAAGGAGCCAAACAAUCCAUAUCCAAAAUAACAUCAAAAUCGACCAUAUCUAACACAAGCAAGUCUACCAAAGUUUCACGUCUGGCAAAAGUCACAACACAAGAUCGGUAUACCCGAUCCACCACUAAAGAAUCACCUACCGAGAUUGAUACACGAAUAGGCAUGGCAAGAGGCUCCCUAACAGAAUCAAAACCCAAAGAAAAAUAUACAGACACAUAGAAGAAAGUCGAUCCAGGAUCAAAUAAUAACAUGCAGGUCUGAAAUAAAUGAAACGGUAUCUGUGAUCACAGCAUCUGAAGCGUCCGCCUUAGAUCUGACUGAUAUAGCGUAGCACUAUCCAUGACUACUAUCUGGCUGAGUGGACCCAUAACCACCAAUAUGGGCUCUACCAUCUCUACCUCUAGCACCUUGGGUAGAACACCUACCUCUCACAGCUGAAAUAAGGUUUUCUCUAAACACGCGGCAAGAACAAUCCUUGGCCACAUGGCCAAUCUCAUCACACAUAACAACCUCUGCGACUAGUCUCAAUACGAGAAGGUACAACUGGGCCUGAACGGCCAUCCUGAACUGCUAGACUAGAAGGUCCACCGCCUAAACUCUAUAAUGCCGCUUAUACUGGCCUACCAUAGUAUCCACGAGAACCUACAAAAUUUCUGUCUCGAGAGGUCUGACUCCUGAACUCACCAAAAUAUCGUGCCUUCUUGGCGCCUCCCUGAGAUUCACUAAGAAUAUCCUCUGUCAUCUUAGCAUGAUCUAUAAUACUCUAAAAAGAAGCCCCAAACACAACUAUACGAAAUGUAGCCAAUAGAAGGAAGACAACCCAACCCUUCACAAACUUUUGAAUCUUCUCACACUUGGUGGAAAUACUAUCUUAGAAAUAUCAAGACAGGGUAUGGAAGCAUGUCUUAUACUCAAAAACUGUCAUGGAUCCCUGCUCUAAAUUAUCAAACUCGUCCCACAUAUGAUCUCUCAAACUAAAAGGCACAAAUCUCUCCAGAAAGGCAUCAGCAGACUGAUCCCAUGACAACUCAGCAACAUUAACAAGCCUACAACUAACAAAUGAUAUCCUAUAAUCUCUCGCUGUAUCUCUCAACUGACAAGAGGUAUAGGCAACUCCAUUUGCGUAGAAAGAGUGAAACACAACUUAGAAUAUAGGGUAUGAAAGAAUUUCGUACGAUAAAGAAUGAAACGAGGAAAUUUUCCUAAAGACAUCCUAUAGCCUCUCAAAGAUAGAUGUGGACGUCUACAUACCAAUUCGCGAGACUCUAUUAGACAUCCCGUUCUUACACCUUUGAGAACAAUGAAACCUGGCUGCUUUGAUACUAAUUUAUCAUGACCCAAAAAAGAGGGUCAUGAUGGCACUUGUUGCGGCGUACCUUGAUAAGUGAGCCAAUCACCUAAACUGAUACGAAUAGAGAAAAAAGAUAGAAAUACCCAAGGUAUGGCUUCUAGAAUGAAUCCGAACCAUAUAAAUAAUCAUAACAAUGCAGAAAGAACUUAUCCAAAACACCAAUCAUGUCCAAAACCAGGUGUCAAUAGUGUAAGAACUACUAAUACAAUCCAAGAGUCAAAUACAUCAAAAAAAUAACCAUAAAGGAAUAAUAACUGUCUACGAACACUAUAAAGACAUAACUAGUAUAGAAAGAUAAAGGUAAACUUCGGACGCAUGAAUGUCCAACCGCUACCUUGGAAGUUCCAACAACCGCUCGAAUCAAGUAAGCUAAGGCAUACCCGAGCUAGGACCUGCACCGAAAGGGCGUAAUAAAUAUAAGUACGGUCCACUUGUACUCAGUAGGUAUCAUAGGCCGACUAAGCAAAGUAGUAAAUAAGGCAUACAAAAUAUACACUAAGGGCACAUCACCUGCAAUCAGAAAAUAUCCCACAACGGUAGCCCACACCGCUUGCGCUAACAGUUCUAAUAUAUCUCAAAUAUAUUGCAAAAACACAUCAAGAUAUAGAACACAAGUAUAGAUUAUGUCACAUAUAAAAUAGAGCAAGAGAGAACAUAUAGAUACAAGAUCAUCAAAUACAAGUAAAGAAAGGUAAGACAAAUACAUAGAUGACAAGUCAAUAAGACAAUACAACAUAACAUAACCACAAUAAAGUAAGUGCAAUGUACAUGAUAAUGAUGAUGAUGAUGCAAGAGUUUGUCGCACAACCUCCGGGAUCGUCCCAUAAUUCCCGUAUACACCUACGAAGCCAAAGCUUCCCAACUUAGGACCCAUAGGGGGUUCGUCAACCCAUAUACAAUCCACAUAUCUCAUAUAUCCUUUCCAGCACAUCCCUCGAAAAGGUUUUUAUAAGGUGUUAUAAUAUUUUUAAAAAGGUGUUGUCAGUGUUUCUCAGAUGUUGCCACGGUGGUACCAAUGUUUCAUGAAUGAGUAUGAUAUGAAGAUGUAAUGCUCACACCAAAUCAUAAUAAGUAUUUCCACAAUCAACCACAUGAUAUAUUUUCAUAACCAACCACAAUGAUACAUUUCCACAACUACAUGAGCCAAUAUUCACUCGUUAUUUUCAUUUCAUCCAUGAAUUUCCACAUGUCUCAUAUGCCGGUAAAGUAUGAAUAUAAUCACAAUAUACCCAUGCUACCACAUUAAACAAUACAAUACAAUUACUCACAUGUAUUCAAGGCUAGCAAUGUCACAUAGGACCCCACACGACUAAAUAUAUCACAUAAUAUUUCAAUUUCGACAAUUACAUCAUAUAUAUGCCCCACACGGGCACAACACGUAGAGAGCCAUUUUUAAUGAUUAGUUCCCACCCUUAACAUGCAUUUUAUACCAUCUUUUACUACCCAGCCCAGUCUGAAGAGUUAAGUCAUAACCUACCUCGAAAGCCGAAAUCGGUUCGCUAAACUUGAACCCAUGACCUUACUUUUCAUGAACAAUCCCGAACUCUACUAAAAACAUCAAAUAUGAAAUCUACGCAUCAAAACAAAAUCAACGACACCCAUAUUGACUACUUUUGAUUCGGGGUCAAAACGGACCCCCAAAAUAGGUUUCCGAAAAAGAAGGGCAAAAUUGGAACUUUACUUUAAAAAUAUGUUUCCCAUAUUUUUAGGAACCUACAGCUGAAAACCCAAGUUAAAUCAAGUGAAAAACGGAGUUCAAAUCGAAGAAAACCCAUUUUUGAGCUUUACCGGGUAAAAUCCUUGAAAUCCGGGUUAAAAUCAAGAAUCGGAGUUGUUUUGAAGGUUAAAUUGAUGAAAAACUAGUAAUUGUAAGAUAAAAAUAUCAUUCAAGUAAAAGGGGAUGAAAUUUGGGUUUAAAAUCAUGCCCUAAGAUUUUUGGGGUUUUGAAAAAUUUAUCAAGAAAUUUCUAAGAAAAUGGUGAAUUCUUACCUUAAAUUCGUAAUUAAAAUCAAAAAAUAGGUGUUAAUCUAGCUUCCCAGGCUGUCACAAACUUCACUUCUAAGAUCCCAAAAUAUUUAGGGUUUAACUGUCAAGAAACAAGAUGAAAAAUGAGCAAAAUGGGCAAAAAAUGUGAAAAAGUUUCUAUAUAUAUAUAUAUAUAUUACAGAUUUUUCUGCAUAACUGUGCAGUUUUUAAUUCUAACUCGAAAUGGACUUCGACGAGGUGCUCGGGAUUUAUUCGGAGCCCGAUUUAUGCAAAUUAACUAUGCAACCACACUAAAUUCGACGUUCUGGACGCGAUGGCGAUACCAGAUUUUCCAGAAAAAUUCGUUUUCACAAAAUUGACCCCCGAGACCCAAAAUCACAACUUUCCAAAUCGAGGGUCGAAAUGAGAUUUAAAAGUCGUAAAAUCAUGUCAAAUAUGCUAAAAUACUAAAAUCGACAUUCUGGAUCUGUUGACGAAGUCGUAUUUUCCAUACGAGGUCGUUUCAACCAAAAGUGGGCCAAAUUUUUCAACUUUCCGACCAAUAGAUCGAAAUGAGCUCGGGUGAAUCAGGACUCGAACCAAAAGUCUACCUAGCCUAAAAUCGAUAUUCCGGAGCUGCUGGCGUAGUCCGUUCGGUCAUCCGUCGCACGGAUCAAAAUAUAACCACAUAAGUCCCAAAUAAGGCUCUCGAAGCCAUAAAAAACCACAAUAUUGCAUAAAUGAUACCAAAAUGCAUCAAAAAUCAUGUCAACCACUCUCACUCCCCAUAAAUACCAUAAUGCAACUACGGGAAGGGUUAAAACAGUCAAAUCACACAAAAUCACAAAUUUCACAUAUUUCAUCAAAUUUUUAGAUCGUUACAACACUUAUGUAGUUCUCAUGAGUAAUUUUCUCGUAUUUUUUGUUUAAAUUUUAUAAGAAAAACUUAUUACACUCAUAAAAUUUUUAAACAUAUUUUUAUGAUAUUUUGUAAUAUGUAGAAUAUAGAAGUAUAAUGUGAUGAAAUUGAAAAAAAUUGAGUAAAAUAAUUAACUCGCCUAAGUUUAUCAAAUUAAUAAUAGUUUUUUUCCUCUGAGAUGAGAAUGAUACACAAAACAUCUUUCAUUUGAAAUAUCCAAGUUUGAUCCUAAAAAUUGACUCUCCUCUCUCAAGCAACUCUUAAGACAAGUAAAUAUACAUUUGCUUUUUGGUAUUUUAUUUUCAAGUUUAUAAAAUAAAUUGAUUUACUCAUAAAAUCUUAAGUACAUAUUUUCUAUCUCUUUUAAUGUUUUUAUCAAAUAGUUUAAUAUCUAAUUCAAAAGAAGGGAUGCAAAAAGGGUAUUUUGGAGAAGUUUUGAAGUUUUUGGAAGGGGUACGAGGUCAUUGUGAAAAAUUUAAAGAGUUAAUUAGAUUUAAUAAUUUAACAUACCACAUUCAUAUUACGAUUGUACAAAUACGUUGAAGAAUCGUCCACACUAAAUAAUAAUAUUAACUCCUACAAUAAAGAAGCCAAAAGUUUACUGCUAAAUGUUAAAUAAUGGCUACAAAUGACAAUCAUUAUUAAUAUAUUUUAUCAUUUGAUGGUAUAAACGAAUAUACUCUAUAAGGAGAAAAAAAUGUCUUGAGAUGCUAGACUUCAUAGUGUUAGUCUUUAAUUGUAAGCAAUUUAUUGUAGAAACGUUUUGUAGUUAUACUUUCUCUGCUUAUGUCAUGUGCAUUCUCUUGAUCUUCUAAUUAAGCAAUCAUUUAUACUUCAUUAUUCCUCUAGAUUUAUGGUUUUGUUUCUUAUUAACUCCCCACCUGACUUUUCAUUUCCUAUGUGUUUUUAAAGUGAUCAUGCAAUAUAAUUUUUCACUUAUAAAUAGAAUUCAUCCGAUAUCAUUCAUUCGUGUAAUCAAACCCCUUGUGCUUAAUGAAUCAAAUAGCUAGGGGAUGAAGCUGGUCAAGACUCAAAGAAAAGGUAUUAGAAUCUGUAUUAAGAUUUUAUAGUCGUAUUUUAAAUUUUAAAAACUAAUAAACAUGUAUUUUUGUUCCCUUUUUAAUCAGUAUUUGUAAGCAGCAACAUUAAUAGCACCUGCGGAGAAACCCAAAAAAAAUUCGGGUGUAGAUUUCAAACGUCGACAGCAGAAUAUGUUCUUCUAUUUGACGAAUUUAUGUCUUCAGAGGUUCAUCUCUGAAGAUGCUCCAAAAUUGCCCGAAGAUACCACUACUAGAAAAAAUAGAAAAACCGACCAUAUGUGGUCGAUAAAAAUCUGGUAGUUUUUUUAAAAUGGACCAAGUCUCGGACCCAACAUGCACUCCCAUAAGUCUAUAUCUAUGUUUAUUCUUGUAUCAUCCUAGCCAUCUAUAGAGGAAUUUUCCCAUAAAUUCAUGGCUUCACCUCGUUCAAUUGGCAACUUCAAAAGAAACUACUCAAACCAACUCGCAAACCAUGAGAUGGCACAAACCAGUCCACAAAAACAUGAGGAAACUGAGAGAUCAAUAACACAAGUCUCGACCAACAUCUUCAUCUUAAACCUCGGCUUCUUCUCCAUCUCGAGCCUUAUCUUCAAUCUCAUCCGAAACAUAUCCCACCUCUUUUCUUGGUGGCGGGUUCCUUGUAGAUCUCUACAUUUUCUCCUCAACUUAUCUUCCAUCAUAUAAGCAUCAUUGUAGACUCCAUGUUUUUUAUUUUUCUUUCUACCAUACUCUUCUACAUGGAUAUAUCGAUUUUGGAAAAAUGGAGUUUCGGUUGAGAAAAAUAAUUUGGUAAGGUAGAGCUUUAGUUGUGGAGCUUGGAUGGGAGAAAAUUGGAUUCCAAGUUCUUCUUGUUGGACUUGAUCGAAUUGAGGGGGAAGUGACUUAUAUAAGUCUCGGGUUUGAGGACAUUUGGUGCUUGGCUUAUGUCUAUGUCAUUUGGUGGUGGACUUGGAGGAUUGAUCAUUUGAGCUAAAGUUUUGGGAGUAGAAACAUGAGAGUUUCUUUGACUCUCCACUCAAUCCAACCUUUCAAUUAUAGUAGAUAUAUCCGAGCCUAAUUUUUUAAGUCCCGUAUUCGCCCUAGCCAUGUCUCGGAAAAUAGCAUUAAGAUGGGACAAAAUGGUUUCCAUUAUGGCCAAGAAUUUACGUACAAAACAAAAAAAAAACACGUUAGUUGUACAAAAAUAUCCUCACUCUCUCUUUUUGUUUCUUGUCUCUCGGAUCCCUCACACUCAAUCUCACAAGUGUUGUAAGCUUUCUUGUACUCUGAGAGGUAUUGAGAGGUGAAUCCAAUAUUUACAAUGACUCCAAAGAGUAAGGAAAACACAAGAACGUAUUAAAAUGACUCAAAAUAAUUAAGACACACAAAGGAAAGUUAACAUGAAGAAUGGUUUCUAAACUAACUUACAAUCUAGUAAACGGUCACUAGGUUGUAAAUUAGUAUGGGAAUCAACAAACGAAACUGAGAAAACAAUAAUUUAAAAGUACAAGAUCAAAAUUUAAACUUAAAAUUUGUUGUGUGAACAGUAAUUGGUGAUAUGGCAAUCCGUGAUUGGCCUCGGUUCUCAACACUUUUUAAUUGACAAUUCACAAUUUGAACUUUGGUGGAAAUUAUUUAAUGGAGGGAGACGCUAGGUAUGAUGAAUCCUUUACCUAAGAGAUCCUUCAACUGUUCUUUCAGUUCUUUGAGUUCAACUGGAGCCAUUUUGUAUGGUGGAAUAGAUAUAGGCUGAGUAUCUGGGAGAAGGUCUAUUUCGAAGUCGAUUUCCCUUUCGGGGGGAACUCUGGGAAGAUCUUCAGGAAAUACAUUUGAGAAUUCAUUUACUAUUGGAACUGACUCAAGAGUAGGAGUUUCUGAUUUAGAGUCUUUGACUCUUACAUGAUGAUAGACACACCCCUUGGAUAUCAUCUUUCUGGAUCUAAGGUAAGAAAUCAACUGACCCCUAAGAGCUAUAGUACUACCCCUCCAUUCAAGUACUGGUUUAUUUGGAAACUAAAAGUGAACUAUUCUAUUUCUACAAUCAACUGAGGCAUAGCAUGAGUAGAGCCAAUCCAUGCCGAGAAUGACGUCAAAAUCCGUCAUCUCUAACUCCAUGAGAUCAACUGAAGUAACUUUUUGAGCUAUUGUAACCGAACAAUUCCUGUAUACCUGUCUGGCUAUAAUGGAAACGCCUACUGGGGUAGACACUGAAAAGGGCUCUGCUAGAUUUUCGAGACUGACUCCAAAAUUGACGGCUAUAUAUGGAGUUACAAAAGAAAUAGAAGAUCCAGGGUCUAGUAAAGCAUGAACAUGUAAGUGAAAGACCUACAACGUACUAGUAAUUACGUCAAGAGAAUUUUCUUGAUAUUGGUGGGACUGAAGAGCAUAUAAUCUGUUCGGACACUGACCACUGGUAGCACUGGAAACAGCACCCUACUGAAUCGGGCGAUCAGAUUGAACUGAUGACUAAUGGUAUUGGCCCUGUUGGCGUGCAUCCCUAAAUUUCUGAGCAACUACGUGAUACUUCUAAAUUCGAUGGCCUGGCUUACCACACACAAAGCACACAUCACUACCCGUUCUACACUCACCCUGAUGGUGUCUGCCACACUUCUGACAUAAAGGAUUGGUACGAGCACUGCUAAAACUGACCUGGGACUUAGAUCUUGGUGCCCUAUCCCUAUUGUCAUUUUUGAAUUUGGGUACUGGGGCACUGGAUGAAGAAGGUACUGGGGUUGAAGACCCCUGCUAAAAGAGAGGACGGUUACCACCUUCUAAAUUUGGCUGAUUAAAAUUAAAACUACUCGUCCUAGCUCUCUUGUUUUCUCUCUCCUUCUUUUUAAUAUUCUGCUUCUCUAUCUGUUGAGCAUGAACCAUCAGCCUAGACAAGUCCAUCUCACUAAUCAGCAUUAUGGUCCUACACUCCUUGACCAUACUAUCAGAUACGCCAGAAACAAACUUACUCAUCUUGGACCUACUGUUAGCAACCAUAUGAGGAACAUAUCUAGCUAACUGGGUGAACUUGAGAGAAUACUCCCUCACACUCAUGCUGCCUUAUCUCAAAUUAAUAAAUUCUAAUACUUUGGUAUCUCUCAACUCCAACGGAAAGAAUUUAUCCAAGAAAGUCGUAGAAAACUCUUCCCAUUCUAUAGGCCCUGCAUCAAUACCUCUAUCAACUUUCCACUUCUUAAACUAAGUAUAGGCUACAUCCUACAAUUUAUAAGUAGCCAACUCAGUACUCUGACUAGACGUCAUCCCCAUAGCAUCCGUUACCUUCUGAACUAUAUAUAAGAAUUCCUGUGGAUUUUCUUCAAACUUGGAUCCCAUAAAAGAAGGAGGAUUCAUCCAAGUGAAAUCCCAAAUUUUCAUUGCAGCAGUAUUGGCUACUGGGUUGGCUGGACAGUGGCUGGCCAUUCAUUCUGUGAUGCUACAAAGUUUUCUAGAGUAGUGAAUGUAGCCCUAAAUUUUGCGUGAGAGGCAUGCUCAUACAGAGGAUCUACCUGGAUGGGCAGAUGGCCUGGCUGAGUUUCUAUUUUUUUUUUGUUCUUCUUGGGAGGCAUGUUCUGUAAACGGAAGGAAAAAGUGGAUUAGACUGAGAGUUUAACUUAAGCUCAUGCUCAAUCGCAUGACAUGAACACUUGAAAGAAGGGAAACUUUUCCUAAAAUCCUUGUAGCCUCUCGUCCAUAAGUGUGGCGUGCUAUACACCCAUGCACAAGACUCUACUCGAUACGACUUACAGACUUUCUAGGACACUUUAAAACCCUAGUCUCUGAUACCAAGUUUGUAACGACCCAAGACUACCCCCCCUAGUCGUUACACAGUGCUUACGGUCCCGAGAGACUAUAAGCUAACCCAUGAGCUGGUACCUACUGUGAGCACUGAAUAAUAUAAUCAUAAAUGUGGAAGAAUACUAACAGGCCAUAAGGUUUUAAUAACUGAAUUUAAAACUAAAAUAUGAGUCUAUAGAAACAACUGACUGAAUCUGAAUAAAUAGUGAUAAAUUGGAUAACUACUGUAAUAUUUGAAUACUGAAUAACUAACUCUAAUGUAUGAAAAGCCUUUAUAACUGACUGACUGAAUAUGAGUUGAUGGGACAGGCCCUAACUAACUCCAACUAACUACUAACUGAGAAAUGAAAUAAAGUAAGUCUAUCCUCGAAGUAUGAGGAAUCACCACUGCUACUGCUGAGGUUCUGAUAAGUCUACUCACAAACCAGGAACUGAGCAUCAAAACCUAUGAUAUAAGACAUCAUACCGUAAAAUAAAAGGGUAUACUAUCAGUACUUUGAAUGUACUGGUAUGCUAAAUAAGGUAGGCUGAUAUGCAUGAUUUCAUGAAUAGGAAUAAUAAACUAUAUGAUAUAUAUGUAAAGCAUGAGAUACUGAAUAGAGAACAUCAAAUCUAUAGGCACUGGAGAUACGUGAAGCAUGUAAAUACUAUGUACGCAUGAGAAUCUAUGAAUACUGAAAAUACGUAAAAAUCAGUAAACACUGAGGAUGCAUGACUAAGCAUAUAACAUGAACUGAGUAAAAUCUAUAAACUAACAUGAACUGAGUAAAAUCUAUAAACUAAAGUACUGAAAUGACUGAAAUUUGUAUGCUUUGGUCAAACAACACUAAGACUAAAUAACUACACUGAGACUGUAACUGAGACUAUAUCUGAGACUGUGGGAGGUAUCAUCUAACCGACAUUCCCCAAUUUGAGCUAAUCGGGGUCCAACCUGUAACCCCAACUGGAAGGGUAUUAAUACUGCGCCACGGGUACUAACAAUGGUUUUGUGGACCACUAAACUAAUAUAAUAUCUAAAGGACUAAGGGUGUCAAGCCUGAACUGACGGGUGACCCCUGCGAGAUAGUCAAGCCUAAUCUAAUGGGUGACUACUCAUAUCCUAUGCUGGCUUUGUAGUUCUGGAGUAUAGGGACUGCUACUAACUACUCUGCCUAUCUUACGGGGAAGUCGUCAUCCCUACACUCUCUCGGUGAUAAAUCCUACUCCCAACUGAAAGACACUGAGACACUAGACUGUUCUGAGUUUAAUUAACUGGUAUUUGACUAUUCUGAAGUGCUCAUAGUAUAUUCUGAAAACUGUUCUGUAAUAUACUGAGACUAGACUAAAUAAAUAUCUAUGGAUUUCGGGUAUUCAAUACCCCCAGGACUCAAAACAAUUAUAGUAAAAUGACACUAACACUUGAAGAUCAAAACAUGAAGGCUCUUAAUAAUUAAAUCACUCUUGUAGGCAUUUUAUCAAAUACUUGUAGUUCAUGGUUUAAAACAAUCAUAGGAAUGUCUUGAAAUUUGUAGGAAUAGCAUGAAUUCAUCAUAAUAGCAUUAAACCAUGGUUUAAUUUAGUAAAUAAUAGUAUUAAAACAUGGAAGAUUGAAUAAUAACAAUAACUUCAUGGUAACAUGGUAUAAAAUCAAUAGUACAUGGAGAUUUAUGGAUCGAAUCAUAAUUUAAAACAUGAUAACUUAAAAAUAUCACAACUUUAUGAUUUAAAAGUAUUGCUUGGACUCCAUGGAUGAAAGGGAUACAUGGAUGAACAUCUAACAUACCUGGGAUGAUGAAUUUGGAAGGAUUGAUGGAGAGUUCUUGAGAAAUUACCUUAAAUUUGAGAGCUAGGGUUUCUUGUACUUGAAAAGGAGAUCUUUAAUUUUGAAGAGGAAUUGAAUAAUGAUGACUACUUAGGGUGUUUACGGGUUGAAUUUUAGGUCAAUUAGGGACGUGGAAAAAGACCCAAAUACCCUUAAACGAAUUUAAAAUCGAAAGUUGAAAACUGACCAUCCUAAUUUUUGCCCUUGGCACGACUCACCACUAUCGCGCUAAGCCACUAAAAAAGGGACAACUGGGAACUGAGGGCAUGGCGCGACGCGGAGAAAUCAUGAUGCCCUUUUGAUUCUAAAAUUCACCCUUGGCGUGACGCGCUAUUAUCGCGACAGGACACUAGAAAAUAAUAAUUGGGAUUUUGGCUGACGGCGUGACGUGGUGGUUUUGCAGAGCUUCACUGGAAUUGACAAUCAUCAUUUAUGUUGGCUCCGCGAUGCGCUAAGGUUUAAAAUGGCGAUACUUUAUAUCUGAAACUUAAAAUUGCCAUAACUUCUUACCCGGUUAUCAGAUUUAGGAGAAUUUCAUAUUGUUAAAAAGCUAACUAAAUUUUCUACGUAAUGGAAGGCUCUAAAAUGAAAAAUAAUGAGUUUUUAAAAAAUUUCAUAUAAUACUCAUGUAUGGGACUUAGAUAAUGCUAGAAAAUAAGGGGUGUUAUAUGAAUGGGUGCACCUUUCUGAACCAUUGCUUCUCUUCAUAAAGCAACACCUUCAUGGCUAUAAGUACCUGGAUUUUCAUCAGGUAAAGAAAAUAAUUUUGUUUAGAAAAACAACCUUCUUCUUCUUCUAAAAAACUCUUGUGUGAUCAUCAAAUCAUUGCGUGUGUUUGAAGUUUCUCAAAAUUUGAGGCACCGCUAUUUUCAUAAAGAGAAUUAUUUUACCCUGGGAAAAAAGAUUCCAUAACCUCGGGUACUUGAGGGGAAUAAAUUCCUUAAGGACACAUUGUGUAUUCAGUGGACUUGAUUCUACAAUUUUCUAUUUCACCUUCCUUCUUAAAGUUGAUAAACACUUUAUUUGAUAGUUCAUUCGAUUAUUUAUUUGGACUAGUGUUUGAAGUUGUUGUAACUUUAUUGUAGUCCUUCAAAGUUGUUCUUGAACUAAGUAUUGAAUUUUGGGUUGAAACAUGCAUAUUUUCAUACCCGUAACAAUAUAGAGUUGGUCAAAUAUUGUUCCCAAUUAACAACUGGCGUGUAGAGGUGUUAGGUCAACUCAAAAUCAGGGUGUAUUUUAUAUAAAGGAAGUGAUAGUUAGGUAGGUAAACAACUAAAUAUUACCAUGUAUAGUUGAGAUAUGAAACUCACGAAGAAAUGAUAGUUUAAAUAUAAUGUUUUUUUUUACUAUUUAUCUCUAUAUAUACACAUAUUAAACUGACCCUGAAAUAAAGUUUCUAUGGUUAGAUUUUGUUAAAGGAAAAUAUGUUAUUGGAAAUUGUCACUAGAGAAAAGGAACAAAAACUAAUGGUUUAUAUAACUUUUUAGGAAAGGUUUAGCUGUUGGAAAAAUUACUACAAUAUUGAUAUGGACAUGAAAUUAACAAUAAUAGUUGAAUAGUAACAAAUACUGUAUUGUGGCAAGCCACUUCCUUGAAAGAGAUUUCGGCCCGACUCUGGUGGAAAUCCUUCGAGCCAGCCACUCCCAAGGUUCCACAACUAUUUUCAAAUAAGUGCACUCGUGGCUGGAAGUUUGGAGAUUGCCUAAACCAAUUGCCCAAAAUAAUUCAAGAAGAGGAAAGGAGAAAGACUUUUUUUCUUUUUCUUUCUAUUUAUUGUAUAUUUUAUUCUCUUUAGGUGCUUCUUAUAUAGCAUAUUGAAAUAGAAAAGACGAAUGAACUUUGAGAUAUUGAUGGUGAGCAUUAAUGACAUUAAAGAGAAUUACUAUAAUGUUAUUGAAUUUACAUUCCGAGGAGGUAUAUUUAUUUUCAUUGUAACGUAUGAGUGUAUGUUCAACUCUCUUAAACGUACUUUAUUUAUUUUUCUUUAUUCAUUGCAUUAUACAAAUACUUUAAGGAGCAUUAACUCCAUAAUCUCCUACUAAUGUAAAGAUAAAGAAUAUAAAUAAAUUCUAGGAAAGAGGAAGGAACAUGUACUCAAGUGUCAAUAUCUUUCGAUUUGAAUUGACACGUAGUGAUAUGAGGUAACAACUAAAAUCCAAAAAGUGAAGUACUCUUGAACUAGAUGGACAUAAGUUGAGACUCCCACAACACAUACCAUAUCCUUGAUUUUAAGCAAUCUCUGUGAUACUACAAAGUAUUUUUUAUGGUCAUGCACACAAAUAUUGGGUUUCAUGAGUGCUUUAGAAAAACAACUCAAGUCUUUUAUAGAAAGGUAACCAAUCUUUUACACUCACGUAGGUGAUCCAUCAAGUCUAUCUCAUUGACCACCUUAAGGCUAUAGAUUAUUGAGAGAAAAACUAGGCUCAACUUUAUAAUAAAAUACCUUACGCUAUAGGAAUAGGAUAUGUAGUGUUUAUUGAAGGAUUAUAUAGCUUUGUUUGACCACAAAUGGGUAUCCAUCAUAUUAUAUCAAUCCAUGGGCUUUAGCCCCAUUCCCUCGACGAUUCAAGGACCAUUUUUUUGUUAAACCCUUGGUCAUAUGAUCAGACAAAUUUCUUUCGAACCUUAGAUAUUCCAAGAAGAUAAUACCAUGUUUCAAUAAUUGUUUAACUACACCAUGUCUGAUGCAAAUAUGUCUCUUUUUACCAUUGUAUACAUUAUUUUUAGCAAUUUUAAUUGCCGCCUGUGAGUUACAAUGUAAAGUUACUGGUGAUAUUUGUCUUCCCCAUAAAGGCACAUCUGUCAAAAGAUUUCUUAGCCACUCAGCUUCUUACCCUGCCAACUCAAAAGCAAUGAAUUCAGAUUUCAUGGUAGAACGUGCUAUACAAGUCUGCUUCAAAGACUUCCAUGAAAUAGCACAUGCACCCAAAGUAAACACAUAGACACUGGUAGAGCUAGCUUUACCAUUGUCAGCUACCUAGUUUGCAUCACAAAAACCUUCUAAAAUGGCAGAAAAUUUAUUAAAAUGCAAAAACCACUCCAUAGUACCUCUUAGAUACCUUAACAAGCGAUGAAGAACAUUUCAAUGUUCACUACUGGGAUUAUAAGUAUAUCUACUUAAUCUACUAACAAUAUAAGCUAUAUCAGGCCGAGUAUAAUUCAUGAUAAACAUUACACUCUCGAUUAUUUUAGCAUAUUCAGUUUGAGAAACACUAGAAUCUCCAUUCUUUUUUAAGUGUAUGCUAAGAUCAUAAGAGUUCUCACUGAAACUACAUCAAAACAAUCAAACCUUUUCAACAUUUUUCAAUAAAAUGAGACUGACACAAAUAGAAAUCAUUAACAGUUCUUUUGAUUUUUAUCCCUAAAAUCACAUCAGCUUCUCCAAGGUCUUUCAUUUCAAAUUUAGAAAAAUAAAAUUUCUUAAUCUUAUUUACAACAUUCACAUUAUAACCGAAGAUUAACAUGUCAUCCACAUAUAAAUGUAUAAUCACAUAAUUUGAUCCUAUUAUUUUAGAAUAAACACAAGUAUCGGAUGAAUUAACAAUAAAGUAAUUAUUCAUUAAUGUGAAAUUAAAAUUUUCAUACCACUGCUUAGGUGCUUGAUUAAGUCCAUAUAAGGACUUUCUCAAUUUGCAUACUUUAUCCUCUUAUCCUGAGACCACAAAACCCUUAGGUUGGGUUAUAUAGAUCUCUUCCUCUAAAUCACCAUUUUAAAAUAUAUUUUUGACAUCCAUUUGAUGUACCACUAAACUAUAAAUAACGGCUAGAGUAAUAAGAGUCCUAAUGUUCGCUAUUUUAGUCACGGAAGAAUAAGUAUCAAAAUAAUCAAUACCUUUCUUUUGGUUAAAACCCCUAAUAAUAAGUAUAGACUUAUAUUUAUCAAUUGUACCAUCAGGCCUCAAUUUCUUCUUAAAUAUCCACUUGCUACUUUUGAGUUUACAACCUUUAGGCAAAUUAUACAAGUCUCAGGUGUGAUUAGAGACUGUAGAGUCUAAUUCACUUUUAAUAGCCUCUUUCCAAAAUAUUGCAUCUAUUGAACUCACUGUUUUAUCAUAAGUUUUAGGGUCUUCUUCUAUUAAGUAGAUAAACACUAAUUCAUCAUUUAAAGUAUCAAUAUCAAACCCUCAGUUAAGAAGGUGGUGAUAAAAUCAGAACCAAAACUAGUCUUAAUUCUACGUCUUUUACUCUUUCUAAGUUUAUUUUAAUGCCCAUUAGCAAUAACAUCAAAAGAAAGCAUAACAUAUGGGUUAACAGAAACAGAUACAGUAGUAUUAUUGUACACAUCACUAGGCACAUCAUUUUUCAAAGGAAAAACAUGCUCAAGAAAUUCUGCAUCUCUAGAUUCACAAAUAGAAUAAUCAAUUAAUGACCUAAAUCUAUAUGCAACACUAUUUUGAGAAUAACCAAUAAAGACAGUUUCAAAAGUCUUAGAGCCUACAUUUACCCAUCUAAAAUCAGGUAGACCAACCUUAUCCAAACACCCUCACACUUUCAAAAAUUUCAAGUUAGGAGCAAACCCUUUCCAUAACUCAUAUGAGGUCUUGUCUAACUUUUUAUGAGGGAUUCUAUUAAGAAUAUAGCAUGCAUACAAGGAAGAUUCCCCCCACAUAUAGUCAGGUAGACCUGAGCUUAAAAUCAUAGAAUUCAUCAUUUCCUUAAGAGUUCUAUUUUUUCAUUCGGCUACACCAUUUUGUUGGGGAGUAUAACGAGCACUAAACUUAUGGAUAAUAUUAUUUUUUUUUUACAAAAAUCAUCUAUAGUUUUAGUACUAUAUUCACCGCCCCUAUUAGAUCCAAAUCUCUUGAUUUUUUUGUCUAAUUGAUUUUCUACUUCUGCGUUGAAUUUUAAAAAUAUGCUUCCAGCCUCAUCUUUAGACUUAAGGAGGUAUACCUUAGUGUACCUAGAAAAGUCAUCAACAAAAGUAAUGUAAUACUUCUUUUCACCUUUACUAAUAGUGUUCUUAAAAUCUGCAAAGUCUGAAUGUACUAGUUCAAGCAAUUUGGUCUUUCUACUAGUAACAUAUUUAAAAGGUUUCUUGGCAUGCUUUGCUUCUACACACACGGGACAUUAGAAAUAUCAUCAAUGUUUACUGCAGGGAUUAAUCUCAUUUUUCUAAGUCUUUUAAUAGAAGUAAUAUUAACAUGACCUAGUCUACUAUGUCAUAAACUGAUAGACUCAACAAUAUAAGCAGAAUUAGGAAUAUUUGCAUUAUUGACAAUCUCUUGAUCAAUGUUCAGUACAAAUAAGUCCCCACUAAGGUAUCCCUCCCCAACAAAGUCUCUGCCAUGAAAAAUAAUUAUUUUAUCAGUUUCAAAAAUAAGUUUAAGACCUACUUUAUUGAGAAGUGCUUCAGAAACUAAGUUUCUACUGAGCGAGGGUGUAGGACAUUGUUCAAGGCUAAAGUUUUUUCAGAAGUUAAUUUAAGUAAAAAUUUUCCUUUACUCAAAAAGCCAGCAGUAGUGGAGUUACCCAUGUAGACACACUCGCCAUUGGUGGAUUCCUCAAAGUCAUGGAAUAACUCUUUAUUGGCCCAAAAAUGCCUUGAAGCGCCUGUGUCCAGCACCUAAUCAUUUUUGUUAGCUACCAGAUUUGCCUCGACGAUUACUGCAGCAAUUACUUCAUCAUCCUCAGUAAGAUGAGAUUGAACAUCAUCUUGCCCUCCCUGUUUUGAGUUUCACAAACUAUCCCAAAUUUCUUUAGUAGAUUUUAAGUAACAAAUAAAUCAAACAAAGUAUUAGUCAUAUGACUUAAUAAAUGUCCUCUAGCAUUUUUGCUAUCCUUUUCAAAUUUCUUUUUAGCCACAUCAUCAACCAUAAUAGUGUUAGAUCGAUCAAUAGAGGGUUUAUUAAAUAAAACAUAAUCAACUUCUAAUAGUUCAAAGAAAAUCAGAAGUUUUUGUGACCAACGUUUAAAAUUAUUUUCAUCCAAUUACUAAAGUUUUGAUAAAUCAGGAAAAUUUUUGUUCAAAGAAAUAGCUAUUUAUCAAUAUUAUAUGUAAGGAAAUCACUUUCAAAUUGUUGAAAAAUUACUACAAUAUUGAUAUGGACAUGAAAUUAGCAAUAGUAUUAAAAUAGUCACAAAUACUGUGUCGUGGCAAGCCACUUCCUUAAAAGCAAUUUCGGUCCGACUUCAGUACAAAUCCUUCUAGCCGGUCACUCCCCAAGGUUCCACAACUACUUUCAAACACGUGCAUUCGUGGCUAGAAGUUUGGAGGUUGCCUAAAUCAAUUGCCCAAAAUAAUUCAAGAAGAGGAAAGGAAGAUGACUCUUUUUCUUUUCCUUUCUAUUUGUUGUAUAUUUUCUUCUCUUUAGAUGCUCCUUAUAUGGCAUAUUGAAAAAGAAAAGAUGAAUGAAUCUUGAGAUAUUGUUGAUGAACAUUAAUGACAUUAAAGAGCCAUUACUAUAAUGUUAUUGAAUUUAUAUUCGGAGGAGGUAUGUUUAUUUUCAUUGUAACGUAGGAGUGUAUGUUCAAUUCCUCCUAAAUUUACUUAAGGAGCAUUAACUCCACAUUGGCAAGUAGGAAAAGUUUUAGGUUAACCUAUAUGACAUUAAAAGCUAAUUAAUCUGAUACAUCAGGCAAGCAUGAAAAAAAUGUUUAUAUAUAUCUAAAUGUUGUCAUAUGAAGGAACAUUUUGUCUUAGUGGAGAUAUAAUUAAUUUUGUGGAUAAAAUUCUUAAUUAGAGGCUCAUAUAUAAUGAAUACUAUAUAAAAGAGAUUACAAGCCUUUGGAAGAAGCAAUGCUAUUUUUUUCCUUUUUAUUCGGUGGUUAACGAAUGAUGACCAUUAGGCUAUAAUAUUAAUUAAACAGGAUGGUUUAAUUAACAACAUGGACAAGGAAGUGGAUGGUUACUUAAAAUAAAAAGUGGUUAUUUUUGUUAAUUAUGGUGGCUUAACCACUAAUAUUAACAAAAGAAGGAAUUAUGACAAUGAAGAGAAUGUGCUAAUGGUGCAAAUUGCUUUUGACAUUAAUGGAGUUAACUGUCAGCCUUCUCUAGCUACUAAUUAACAAUUUAGAUAAUGUUUGUGACUAAUUUUAAUUUUCUUCAAAAAGAAUAAAAUAAAACAACUUAAUCAGAAGAGAAGAAUUAAAACGAAUCAUGUCCAAAAUUUGGUUAUCAUUUCGGUAGUCAAUAUACAUCAUCUCAAAGUAGUUCACGCUAGUAAUAUAAUUGUAUUUUAUUCAUGGUCAUUUAGCUUUGUGUGCAUUAUAAAAAAAUUAUUUUGUGUAAUGAAAGAAAAAAAAUAACUUUUGUGUAAUGAACAUAAAGCUAAGGCUGGGGCAGCUCUACCUCAUAAAAAAAUAGGCGGUCGUCUUAGGCUCUCAAAUUUUAUAGGCCUUAUUUUAUACGAUAAUUUAUUAUAAAUAGUUUUAAAAAAAAUAUCAUUUGUUGAAUAAAUAAUAUUUUUUAUAUAAAAAGAACGAAUUAUUAUAAGAAGUUCGUAUAUCCAAAGUACUAUGUUUCAAGAAAAAUUAAAUGCAUUGAUUAUAAUAUUACUUAAAAAAAAUAAUUAUAUAAUUUUGAAAAUAAAUUUUAUUAAAAAAAAUUAUUUAACAAAAAAAAAUUUAAAAUUUUUAUAUGAUUUUGCCUUAAACCACAAAUAUACUUGAGCCGCGCGUGAGCUAAGGAAUCAUGUCAAUGAUGUAAAUUUUGGCCAUUUUGGCGUAACCAAAAAAGUUCUUAACUUGUCUACUUCAAGUAUUUUUGUCAUAAAGAAAGGCGGAACCGUCCAAUAGAAUGUAAAACUACACCUUCUGUAUCCGAAGUGGAUAAGUAUAUCUCCACUAAGACAAAAUGUCCCUUCAAUAAACAAUAUUAAGGGGUCAUUUGGUAGAGUAUAUUAUAAAAUAUAAUAUAUGCAUUAGUUAAUACGUACUAUUAGUAUCUUAUUUGAUAUAUUUUUUUGCCUAUAUAGCAUUAGUUAUAUACUCUAUUAUGUAUUGAAGUGUGUAUUAGUAAUACACUCCAUUUUCUAUGUAUUAGUAAUACAAUGACUUUAAACAUAUGUAUUAACUUAUUAAAUGACCUUAAUAUCCCUCAAUUUCCCUUUUAAAAUAUUUCACCAUUCCUUUUUCCAUCAUUUUAAUUUGCAAUAGUGAAUCUUUUCAAAAUAUUUCACAAUUUCUUUUCCCACCAUUUUAAUUUACAACAAAGAAUAGUUGAUUUAAAUAACUAUAUAACAUAUUUUUGCGUUGCUUAGAGAGUCUUUAAAAAGAUAAAAAAAAAAAAUUGAUACAAUUUCUUAAUUCUAUAUCUUGUAUUGUAUUUUUGUUCGACUAUAUUAAUCCGUCGGCGUAACAUUUAUGCGCAAAGAUGAAGGUUGCAAUUAAUUCUAAAUCUCUAUAUACUAGUUCAACAAUACUAAUUUUGAUUGAGAUGGCAAAAGAACUUUGUAGCAAAAAAGUGUACAAAAUCAAAGAAGGGUAUUUUUGUAAAUAAAAAUUUCUUUUAUAGAAAUUAUGUAAGAUGUAUUAUUUCUUAUACAUCAAACCAAACAAUAUAUAAGAAAUAAUACAUGCAUAACUAAUACAAGAAUUACUAAUGCAAGUAUUACUAAUACACUUUAUUUUGUAUUGUUCUUAUACAAUCUAUCAAACCACCACUAAGUUACACAUACUUUAUGCUUGUCUAAUUGUCUUGUGGUUGUAAAAACUAACUAUAGUAUAAGUGCAUAAAUAUUUUAAUCUUUAAGGUCAACCUAAAGUAUCCCUAUGGCUUUUCGAACUAUGUCCACCAAGUAACAUGCAUGUUUUCCUAAUUUAAAUAAUUAAUCUGCUUAGUGAUAGGUGCAUUCUAUCAUUUUUUAAGGGAUAAAUAAUCAUUAUGUUGUCUUUGAUGGAAUGAAUGAAAAAAUAAUUAUUUUAGUGAAAGCAAAGUCUCCACUAACUUAAAUAACUAUGUUUUCUAAGUGUGUUACUUCUGGUCUUUAGCGAAUCAGUUGAGACUUACGGAGAGCCUAAACUGGCCAAAUAGGAAAAGCAAAUUGCGUUACAUUUUAUGAAAUUUAUUUAUGGUAAUAGAUAUUGGUGGUCUUUGUUUAGUUUAGACUUUUAGGGUGUGUUCUGUAUGGAAAUUUUUUUCAGUUUCUCAUAUUUUGAUUGGUUGAAAUUUUUGAAAAAUAUUUUCUCCAAGGAAAUUAAAACAAGUUCCAUGCACAAGUGACCGGCAUUUCCCGUUAAUUGUGUCAUCUCCAUUCUCCAACACACCUCAUCUUUACAUCACUCCUUUCCCAUAGUAUAUACAAAUAUUUUUAGAAUAAUAUUUUAUUUACAUACCAAACGUAAGAAAAUAAAUAAGAAAUUUAUUUAUUUUUCUAAAAUACAUUUUCCAGAAAAAUUUUCCUCCGCACUCACACCCUUAUACUAAUUAAGAGGAUAUAAAGGUAACUGAGGGAAACAUAAAUUAGAGAAGCUUGCUAAGAUGUGUUUACUAUUUUAAUGCAUUCCAGAAAGAUAGAGAAAAGAAAUUUCAUAUUGCCUUUUUUUUUUUCUUCUGGUAAAUUCAUAUUGCUAAGGUACUGCGCUCUAACAAUGGUUCCAUGCACAUCAUCAAGAUAAUUUAUUGGUAAAUUUUAACCUAACAAUUUACUUUUCGAAAGUCGUAACAACUUUAUCCUCAAGUUCUUAAACUUUUUGGAGCCAAUGGUUAUAGCUUCCAAACACAUUGAGGACAAAUAUGUGUAUUGACUGAGACAACUUAUCCAAUUAUACAUGCUGGAUUCUUCUUCUUGUGUAGGUUGAAUAUUCCAAUUCUCCUAUAUUAGAAGUCACGCUGAGCAGGAGGAGACCGUGAACUUUUCUGCUUGCUGAGUUUUUCGUAAUUUUACUGUAUCACUCCUAAUUAAUUAUUAUACGUUAUUUACAUAUUAAAAAAAUUAAUAAUAUUUAAUAAAAAAUAAAAUAGACUUUUACGAUAUGUCUGAUUCAACUACUUCAAUCGUAACUUUACUAUAUUACUCAUAAUUAAAUAUUAUAAAUCAUCUAAAUAUUAAAAAAUUAAUAAUAUUUAGUAUUAAAUUAACUUGGCGUCUUAUAGGAGGCUCACUCAAGACAUGCCUGCUUCGCUGAUUCAAUCAUGAAUUUAUUAUAUCACCCGUAAUUAAUUAUUAUGAACGUCUAAGUAUUGUGUUACUUAAAUUGGAAUACAGAAAAAAAAUUAUAAAUCACAAUAAUUAAAAAAUAAAUUAUUUUAAAAAUAUAAUAGACUAUUGAUGCCACAAAAGUUUGGACAAGGAGAGUGACAUAUAUGAUUUGUAAAUUAUAUAAAAACUAUUAUAAAUUAUAAUAGUUAACAAUUUAAAAUAUCUAAAAAAUAAUUAAUCUAUUGUAUAUUCCCAAAAACACAUAAAAAAAUAUAUCAAUCACAAUAAUUAACAACUUAGAAAAUUUAAAAGAUAUAAAGUUUUUAGUUAACUCUCAAAAUUAUAUUAGUAGCACUUAAAUUGAAAUAGAAAAAAUAAAAUUAUAAAUCUCAAUAAUUAACAACUUAAAUUAUUUUACAAAUAAUUGACUACCAGUGGCACAAGAGUUUGGACAAGAAAAGUAACAUGUAUUAUUUAAAAAUUACAUAAAAGAUAUUCUAAAUUACAAUAGUUAACUAACUUAAAAUAUUUUAUUAUAUACGUGAUAAUUACUAUGUGAAAAUUAAUAUAAAUCACAAUAAUUAAUAAUUGUAAAUAUUUUUUAAAAAAUAUAUAGAAAUUUGAUUGUCUCUCGAAAUUAUAUGGGUGUCAUAUUAACAACUUAAAAUAUUCUUAUACAAAUUUCAUUAAUCUAAAUAUAAUAAUAUAUGCCUAACUAAGAAUUUAUCAACCAAAUAAAUGAAUGUUUUAAUUAAAUGAUAGAAUUAUACAUUACAUAAAUUUUUCAAGUAACAACAUUGGGCCCGUGCGUAGCACGGCAUAGCCACCGAGUAUAUAUAGAAGAGUGAAGGAAGCAGGUGAAGGUUGUCAUGUCUGCUUCCUCCGUGAUUUUACUAUAUUACCCUUAAUUAAUUAUUAUAUGUCAUUUAAGUAUAAAAAAAUUAAUAAUAUUUAAUAAAAAUGUAAAUAGACAUUUAUGACAUGUCUGUUUCAACUGCUUCAACCGUAAUUUUACUAUUUUAUCCCUAAUUAAUUAUUAUAAGGCAUUUAAGUAUUAAAAACUUAAUAAUAUUUAAUAAAAAAAGAUAAAAUAAACAAAAAAUGAUAAAUUAACUGUUGAUGUUUUAAAUUAACUUGACAUCUUAUAUGAGGCCCGUCUACAUUUAAUUAAUCUCCUUAAUAAGAAUAACAUGUAUUUAUAUUUUUUAAUGUAAAAUUUUUGUAAUCAUAUAAAUGUAUACUUCAACCAUCGUGUUUACUGACAUGGCUUUUUGUAAGAUAAAUCAUUAGACAAACAUGAAGAAUGCAUAGCUAAAUGUUGUAAUAUAUGAAGGGAUAUUUUAUCUGCAUUUUGUUUGGUGGACAGAAAAACGGCAGUUCACCCUUGACUACUGAGCAUCACAAUUUAAAAUUGUUAAAAGAAAUUCAAUAUAAUGAAGAAAUAAAAGGUAACAAGUAACCAUACAAGGGCUCACACUAUAAUAUUAACAAUGUACCAUAUAUAUUACUCCGUUCCUUUAAACAAGAAUGACAUAUCUUUCUUUUUAAUCCAUUUAAAAAGGAAUGAUUUCUUUUCCUUUUUAGCAAUUUUUUAAUUUUAACUUUCCACAUGACAUGUUUAAGACCACAAGAUUGAAGGGCAUUUUGGUACAUUUGACAUAUCUUUAAUUUAACACCACAAGAUUCAAAAGUCUUCUUUAUUUUCUUAAACUCCGUGCCAACUCAAACUAGGUCAUUUUUUUUAAAAUGGAGUAUAAGUUGUUAUUUUAUUUGUACUUCGGGUACAUAGAAUCUGUAUAUUCAGAACAAUAACUUCAACUAGAGUUCAAGUAUAAACAAGAACACAAUGAAGUAUAUCAAAUACCCUCAACACAAGAUCAAAAUGACUUUUCGAAGAGGUGUAUUUUAUUUUUUCAAAAAAUAGAUGAAACAGAAAUGAAUAAGGCCAAGUCGUCCGAAUUCACGGAGUUUCCUUAAGGAAAUAAUUCCCCUCACUAUACCCGAGGUUGUGGAAUUCUUCCUCCGAGGAUAAAAUGACCAAAUAGACCAAUUGUAGCGGUACCUCAAACAAUUGGAAUAUCUUCGAACGCACAGAACGUUUUGAUUGAUCACACAGAGUAAUUUGUAAGACAGGAAGUAUUUUGUAUUCUGAAAAUUUUCGUUUCAAAACCUGUGGAAGAAAGCAAUUUUUUAUAGCCAUAACAUGGAUCUUCUGCAAAGAGGCAAUGGUUCACUUCAAAGGUUGCGUCUUUUCUGUAAAUUCAUGUUUGUUCAUCAAGGGGUGUGCUUGUUCCGAAACAGUCAUGUCAUUUCAUGCGAAUCAGUGUGUUUGUUUCAAAACAGUCAUGUCAGUUCACGAAACAUUGUGUCAUUUUCAGAAGGGUUGCAGCAUCCUUCUGAAACUAAAUAUCAAUUCGAAACAUUUCUUGUUCAAACCAUUGCAUCUAUUACUGCAUGCUGCAUGUAUAGAUCUCAUCGAGAGAUCAUUUUCCAAAUCCGAAGCCGAGCGAGCGACGACGACGUUGCGAGACAUCUCUUAUUUCUUGCCUCACUUACCAUGUGGAGUAAGUGUUCUUAUUAUAAACACUUCAAAGUUUUCUUCUCCUACCAAUGUGGGAGAAUUAGUGAACUUUCCAAUUUAGAGUACACUUUCUAAAUUGGGUGCCUCCUUUCCUCCACUAUUUUCCAUUUUCCAUUCACACUUCAUACUAACUUUUAACCCAACAUAAGUUAGGUGAAAUCUUCACCACAGUUUGGGUGACAGGAAAAUACAUAACUAGUGAAACUUCUUUACAAGAAAAUAAAGAGAAACAUGACUAACCGUAAACAGUAAUUAAAAGGAGGAGGAGGAGAAAAAAAAGUUCACGACCUAGCUACGUGGACUAGCACAUUAUUUGUAACAUACCCUAUGUUUAACAAUGCCCUUGUUGCUAUGUUCUGCAGGGUCCAAAUUGCUAUUCUCAAUUUUCACCUAAAUUCUCAUUAGAAGCAAAGCCACCAGGGUAAAUUUUCUUACCCUUAUUACGUUUACCAUCUGUGGUGGAAUUUUUCACCGUGCCACCCUCAUUAUAAUUACUAUUCCGAGCAUUUUCCUCCUCCAUUUUCUUCGACUUCUCUUUAAGGCGUUUUUGUUGUACGUGAAGAUGGACAUAGUUAACUCCCAUGGAUGCCAUAACUUGAACUUUUAUCCUAAAGAAAUUUAUAGAGAAAAGACAUGUUUUCUCCCUGCACUUGUCCUCCAAACUCACUUUACCACUUAAACUUAACUUUCGUUUAUUCACCCCUCUUAACAUCUUUAAAGUGUAUUAAUUUCACCCUUUGAAACUGAAUAUCACUCUCACAACGGAGAGUCUGCACACAUGCCGACAAAUAUAUAUAUAUAUANNNNNNNNNNNNNNNNNNNNNNNNNNNNNNNNNNNNNNNNNNNNNNNNNNNNNNNNNNNNNNNNNNNNNNNNNNNNNNNNNNNNNNNNNNNNNNNNNNNNNNNNNNNNNNNNNNNNNNNNNNNNNNNNNNNNNNNNNNNNNNNNNNNNNNNNNNNNNNNNNNNNNNNNNNNNNNNNNNNNNNNNNNNNNNNNNNNNNNNNNNNNNNNNNNNNNNNNNNNNNNNNNNNNNNNNNNNNNNNNNNNNNNNNNNNNNNNNNNNNNNNNNNNNNNNNNNNNNNNNNNNNNNNNNNNNNNNNNNNNNNNNNNNNNNNNNNNNNNNNNNNNNNNNNNNNNNNNNNNNNNNNNNNNNNNNNNNNNNNAUAAAUUACUUGAUAACUUGGUACCAACCUAAAACUAAAAAAAUAAUAAUUAAAAAAAAAACCCACCCCUGACGUAAAAACCACAAAAACUAUAUAAUAAUAAAAAAAUUAUAAUUAAAAAACUCAGAAAUAAUAUAAUAAUAAAAAGUUGUAAUUAAAAAAACCUCAAAAUAAUAUAAUAAUAAAAUAAAUUGUAACUAAAAAAAACUCACCACUACGUGAAACCAAAAAAAAUAAUAUACUAAUUAAUGAAUAUCUAUUCCACCAAAAAAUAUAAAAUAUCAUAAUUAAAAAAUUGUAAUUACAAAAAAAAUUAUCCUUACGUGAAACCAAAAAAUAUAUAUAAUAUAAAGGAGGAGACAUUUUUGGACUUAAAUUUAAUGUUAGGGCAUUUUUUAUUCAAAUAGGUGGAUGGAGGGGUAUUUUUGAACCAAUAGAGGAAGAAGGACAUUUUUGACUCAUUUCUAAUACAUUAAGGAUAUUUUUGAGCCAAAUAGAUGGAUGAAAAGGUAUUUUUAAGCCUAAAGAUGAAAGGAGGGUAUUUGUAUACCAUUUUCAAUAGUUAAAGGGUAUAUUAGACCUUUUCCGAUUUAUUUUUGGGGUGUGAAUGGUGACCAUUAGGAUAUGAUAUUAAUUAAACAGGACGGUUUAGACAAGGAAGUGGAGGGUUACUUAACAUAUAUAAAGUGGUUAAUUAUCUUUUAAUUGUUAAGGUGGCUUAACCAUUAGUUUUGACAAAAGAAUUGUGCCAUUAUGGCUAAUGAUGCAUAUAGUGGGACGAAUGGAGUUAGGUGUCAGCCUUCUCUAGCAAAAAACUUUAGCCAUUUGAAUAAUGUCUAAUUAAUUUCGAACCCAAAAGUUUUUACUUAGUUAUUAAACAUAUUAUGAAACAUAGUGGUUGAACUAUAUAUGUAGAAAUAAAAUACAGUAACUUUUACUGAAAUUUUUGAAUUUAGUUUGACUAUUCACUUUGUUAAGUCAACUAAAAAAAAUUAACCUCACCCAUAUAUGUUGGGUGGACUUGUGUAGAAAUCACAAAAUGUGAGGGGAGCUUAAUACCUGACCUCACAGCGUAAGCUGAGGAGAAUCAACUUGCU